UAGAGUUUGAUCCAUGGCUCAGAUUGAACGCUGGCGGCAGGCCUAACACAUGCAAGUCGAGCGGAUGASAGGAGCUUGCUCCUGGAUUCAGCGGCGGACGGGUGAGUAAUGCCUAGGAAUCUGCCUGGUAGUGGGGGACAACGUUUCGAAAGGAACGCUAAUACCGCAUACGUCCUACGGGAGAAAGCAGGGGACCUUCGGGCCUUGCGCUAUCAGAUGAGCCUAGGUCGGAUUAGCUAGUUGGUGAGGUAAUGGCUCACCAAGGCGACGAUCCGUAACUGGUCUGAGAGGAUGAUCAGUCACACUGGAACUGAGACACGGUCCAGACUCCUACGGGAGGCAGCAGUGGGGAAUAUUGGACAAUGGGCGAAAGCCUGAUCCAGCCAUGCCGCGUGUGUGAAGAAGGUCUUCGGAUUGUAAAGCACUUUAAGUUGGGAGGAAGGGUUGUAGAUUAAUACUCUGCAAUUUUGACGUUACCGACAGAAUAAGCACCGGCUAACU
rnacentral:rRNA from 1 species